GAUUUCUCACCAUCCAGCUGCCAUUGCCGAUCAGUCACCCAACAAAACCCAUGGAUCCUCCACAUGGAAGCAGGCCAUGGCGGCCAUGCUUACUCCACCAUCAUCAUCACCACCACCAGCAGGUCCAACACCACCAUAACCACCACUUCCACCAUCACCGUCCCAAUUUUGCGUCUUUUCUGCAAAACCCAGAACCCCCAGCUGCCGCCGCCAUUCCUUUCCCAACCCAUUUGAAUUCAGAACCUUCUGAGCUCAAAGAAGCGUACUACGACUAUCCUACCUCUCAGACAUUGCUGGGGUAUGGUGAGGUCGAUGAUGGUUGGUUGGAAGAGGAAGAGGAUGACGACCCGGUUUUCGUCUUAACAGACGAGUGAAGGAGUUUUUCGCAAAAUCUGAAGCCAAGAGGAAACUAGAGAAGCAGCAGGCCAAGAAGAAGAAGGGAAAAGCUAAACAGAGUCGAGAGUGAUACGGAAUCAUACGUUGCCUUUGUGAGUGGCUUCUUUUUUCUUUUUUUGUUAUAUUGGCAGUGAUGAAAUGUUGGAAGUAAUGUCUGUAGAAAAAUGUAUCAAUCACGCCAGAGAAAACCCUAAUGCAGCUCAAAAUGUUCAUCGAAAUGUUGGAAAUGAUAGACCGAUUGAUGCA